rnacentral:rRNA from 1 species
UACGUAGGGGGCAAGCGUUGUCCGGAAUCAUUGGGCGUAAAGCGCGUGUAGGCGGCUUGGUAAGUCUGCUCUGAAAGCCCGGGGCUCAACCCUGGGAGGCGGGUGGAUACUGCCGAGCUCGAGUCCGGAAGAGGCGAGUGGAAUUCCUGGUGUAGCGGUGAAAUGCGCAGAUAUCAGGAAGAACACCCGUGGCGAAGGCGGCUCUCUGGGACGGUACUGACGCUGAGACGCGAAAGCGUGGGGAGCGAACAGG